UCUUUCCAACCAAUGGCGAUUGCUCUCGUCUUUCUUUCUCUUUUGGUUGUGAUGUCGUGUAACACCGCGCGGCCCCUCUCUCUCGAUCGUCAAUGCCGCUCAACCCUUUCUCUCCUCUCAUAGUCGCAUCUCUCUCCCCUUGCUCUUUCCACUCUUUUUUCCUUUUUUUCUAUCUUUUUUUUAUGCUCUUUCAUUACAUGUAUAUAUAUAC
rnacentral:lncRNA from 1 species